AUGGGAAAUCCUUUUGGACCCAGAGAAGUGUCCAAGCUCUGGGGACGUAGCCGAGUGGUGGGAAUGCUCCUCCAAGUACUUGUUUGGCUUCUGAAGCUUCAGGCUGCCUGGGUCAAUGCCCAAAAGUUGCAACAGAGUCCUCUGUCUCUGAUCAUCCAAGAAGGAGAUGAAAUCGCCAUGAGCUGCAAUUCAUCGGCAUCUUUAUAUGCCUUAUACUGGUACAGGCAGGGGAACGAUGGAGAUCUCAUCCUCUUGGUGAUGUUACAGAAAGGAGGAGAUGAGAAAAGUAAUGACAAAAUUACUGCCAAGCUGGAUAAGAAAAUGCGACAAAGUUUCCUGCAUAUCCAAGCCUCCCAGCCCAGUCACUCAGGCACUUACCUCUGUGGAGGAAAGCACAGUGGUGUACACACUGCCACAGGCUGUCUCCAAACCCACAGCUGGGCUACAGCUGCUCUGACACAGGGCUCCGGACAUAGAA